rnacentral:tRNA from 1 species
UGGACGUGGUGGAGUGGAGCCGCCAUCACCGGCUGUUUCCCGGUCUCGGCUCGUUCGACCUGAGCGGGUUCGUC